GCAGUGGUCUCAAUUCAGAGUAUUAAUACUCAGUGCGUGCCUAGUGAAAAGCAACCUUCAUUUUGCUGAGAAAGACUCAUUACUGCAGCCCCCGCCUCAUCUGCCACAGAGUGGUUGUCCCUUAAAUCUGUCUUCGCACUUGUAGAUCUGAGACAUCAGCUUCUCUCACUGUGCUGCAAGCCAGGCAUAGGCAACUCCACAGAGAAGCAGGAGGUCUUCCUCCUCAGAAGACCAGCAUGACAAGAUCUGUCCAAACCAACAACUAUUUUAAAAAUAUAAAAAGUUUCAACUUAUGCUCAAAUUGCAAAAUUAAAGCCAAAGAGCCUGUAACAAGGAGGUAACUGAUCUCUCUUUCAGACUGGCUCUAGAUGUACAAGGUCAUGAGUCUUUUAUCUGUGUACAAGUAGUAAGAACCAUAAUUCAUGCUCUUGACCUUAUGAAGGCAGAUAGCAAAAGAUUCUGAAGUCCUGAUUUUCCAUUUUUUCAUAAAAUUGUAAAACCAACCAACCAACCAAACAACAACAACUACAAGAAAAAACGGAGCUCCUCACCCCUUCACAUGUGGCUGCUCUCCUGUCAUCCAAUUUCACCACUUGGGGAAAAUUCCAGGCUGUGUUGGAGCACUCUUGCAUGUGCUGGUGUAAUGGGAUCUCAAAGGCAGCCAGUGCCAAGUCAUACCAUAAGUAUAAAAGACCUGUUUAAAAAAUUGCAUGCUGCGAAGUGAUGUAACAGAAAUAGCAAAUUAUUUUCCUUUUUAUGGGAUGAACACCAGCAUAAAUGCAAUAAUAAACUGUUAUUUUUGUUGGUGGUGGUAGUUUUUCCUAGGGUUGCCAUAGUUACCCUCUGGACAAAAACAGACAGAAAAACUUGUGCCUAAAGGGAAAUUCACUGUGAAGUCUUUGUCAGUCAAAAAUUGAUAAUAUAAUAUAACAUAAGGUUUGCCACAGUGAAACCAGAGGUUUAGUGUUGAUGCGCUUUUUUUUUUUUUUUCUCCAGACUGGAACUAUCUGAUUUCAGUGGUCAGCUCUGAGGGCUUGUGGGAGGCUUGUCUGUAACUGAGACAGAUCAGUUGUAGGUACCUGCUCCAGAUGAAUUCCCUGCCUCAUGGCACUGACUGAUCUGGUGGUCUUUUGACAAAGAACUCACACCAUUUAACUCUUUUGGCAUGCUGAGUACUUUGUGGACCACAUGUGCUGUUCCCUAACACAGAGAAAGUAUAUUUCUCUUACACGUUAUACACACUUGAGUAAACACGCUCAAAGUGUAGCAGUGACUAAAAGAACAACACAAAGCCCCAGAAGCUGUAUAAGGAAGCACAAGACAAGAACCUCUACAAAGACUACUAGAGGCAGAACUGGCUUAUUAAAUGCAGACUUUUACCCCUUUUUUUUCCCCUUUUUGUCUAGUUCUUUAUUUUUCCACCAUGAAUUCAGGAAUUCAAGGUUUUGAAUCCCAGGACUUUUGCAUAUAAGCAAGGACCUAGAAGCACCCACGUUUCAAGGCAUCUGGAUGUAGUCUCAAAUCAGCUUAAAUUACAGCCUAGGAGGAAACCUUCCAUUACCAAACCUGGUCUUGUUCCCUGCCAUAAGAAGACAUACUAACUAAAAGGAGUCAGACAUGAAUGUGCUUGAAGAAAGGGUGAUACAGAACUGGCCCCUGUGUCUCAGUCAUCCUUUCAUGUACAGUGCAUCCAUUGUGCAUCUUUCUAUUCUUCUGUCUGGAUCAUGACCACUGGUAUGUACAUCACUAAUGGUAAGUGCUGCAGUGUUUCUGUACUCCUAUAUUUAUUAGCUAUUGAGCUUUAAGCACCUUGAGCUUCACAGUUACCGUCUUGCAGUAAGCCAAGUUACAUUACGGAGUCAAAUAUGUAAGCAUGAAUAACCUUAACAACAAGAACGUUAAAAUAUAUAUUAGGCUAAAGAAUUAACUAUGAAUUAAAAUAUUGAUUAAUUAUAGAGUGUUAUAUUUUAUGCAGUAGCUAUUUAUACUGCCUGAGCUGAUGACUGGAAAUCUGGAGAAACAGAUUUCACCAUUAUGGCCAGAUAAACAGAGAGCAGAGUUUGGAUGUGAUGGUGCUUCGCAGAAGGACAGGAUUAGUGGUGCAUAAACCAUUCUCAAGAGGUGCUUGCCACCUUCUUAAAAAUCACUAAUGGAGAAGUUUCUUUGACCUUUAGAAGUAAUCUAUUCUUAUGUGUAUUAUCAGCGCUUUCAGCAGCAACAGUCUGAGGAAAAGAUGUUUCCCUCUGUCUUUAUUAAAGGCUACUGCACAGGAGAAGGGACCAGAAAGAGCUUUCUAGACCUAUGUGUAGAUAGGUGCAUCACCAGCCUACCUGGCUGGGCUGUAUUUUUCAUGUUAAUGUUAUGACUGCCUUUUUCUCAGCCACCAUGGAUUCCCUGCUCUUUUCUGCAGAACAAGUCUCUGGCCAAUUUCCUCUGCUUUAUUUAUACAACUCAUCUUUCCUACUAAGUGCAUUAUGUUGCCUUACUCUGUAUUAAAUGAUACCUUAUUUUUAAGAUCCUCAUUGCCAUUUAUCAAGGUCAUUUUAAGUGUUAGGCAUUGGAACAGGCUGCCCAGGGAAGUGGUGCAAUCACCAUCCCUGGAAGCCGUUAAAAGGCGUUUAGAUGUAGAGCUUAGGGGUAUGUUUUAGUGGGGAGUGUUAGCGUUAGGUCAGAGGUUGGACUCGAUGAUCUUGAGGUCUCUUCCAACCUAGACAUUCCGUGAUUCUGUGAUUCUGUGUCUCUCAUUACUUGUCCUGCCUUGGCAGGUUUUGUAUCAGCACAAUGAAUAACUCCCAUCACCCACUAACUCCUUCCCCCUGCAAGCUGCCAAUGGUGUGCCUGCCCACAAAAAGUUCAAGCUGAGAUGGGAAAAAAAAAAAAUAUAUAUAUAUAUAUAUGUGUGUUAUGAACGCAAAAACUGUUGUCAUUAGGUUAUGACCUACUGAUGGUGUCCUCUCUUUAACAGCAUACACCUCAGGAAGAGAAGAGUAAUGCAAGAGUGUUGCAUUGCUUUCCCAAAUACCGUCCCAGACCCCUAAGGCCAAUUUUAGGCUCAGUACCUUCAUGCCUGAAAUUGACUUUGUGUUUAACAAACCUUGGAUUUCUUUUCAAGAAUGUGUACAUUUGGACUUGACUGUUCCUAUGUGUUUUCCUACAGCAAUAUCAAAGGAUGCUGGUUUCAGCCUUGAAACCCAUCUGAAGAAAUUCUUUCCCACCUUUUUCUUGACCCUGUCUCAUGUUUUUCUAGGUCAUCUGUUCUGCCCUGCAAUUACUUGAGGUAUUGACUACACAGAGAAGAAGAGAACUGAUCAAGAUUAAAAAUAAUCUAUUUUGGAAGAAAAUGGUGAAAUUUUACUCUAAUAAAGUAAAUUGCCAAGGAAAUACUGAUGUCAAAUUUAGAGAGGAUACUGAAAUCUCUUACAAAAUAUUUCAUCUGUAGAGAAAGAUAUUUUCUACCUAUUAAUUGAAAGAAUGUAGAAGGCUCAUUAUAGGAGAAAUGAAGGACAGAAAUGGAAAAUGAAUUAUGGAGUAUAACUAUCAUUUGUCAUUGCAGCUGUAGAGAUUUUGGAGCAAUCGUUUUUUAUUUGUAGUUUCCCAUGGGUUUCCCACUAGCAUUUAAAUAUUUCUUCAAAAGGUGUUUCUAGAUAUCUGCAGCCUAUAAAUAUAUUAAAUCAAGGUCCUAAAGCAUGAAUGUCUGAUGAAACUGCAUUAAGAGAUUCUGGCAGAGAUGAAGGCAGCAUAUACAUUGCAAAAAUGUCAGCAGUGUAGAUGGCAUAUAGAAACCUUGUAGCUAAAGCCUCCUGAAGAUACCUUUGGUAAAAGAGAGAUCUGUUUUCUUUGCUCAGUGGUUACAGGAUCUUUGGUUCCAAUUCAGAUCACAGCAGUAAAUGACACGGAUGUCACUCAGGUGAUACUGACUUCAGAUUUGAUAGUUUUUUCCUGGAUUCUGGAUGUCCCUCUGUGCUUAGCACAACUUUCCACAGGUUUCACAUUUUCACUGAGCUUUUACUUGGUGGAUUUAAUGGGACCUCUGUGAAAACUUCUGCAAAAUCGAUGAGCUGCCAAAAGAGAUUUCAUAUGGGUACAGAUCAGUGGGCAUCACUACUCACACAGAGUGUAUCGACAGCUGCUCAGGCAAGGCACACAGUAAGCAUGAGGUUGGCUCUGACCUUGCUGCUGUCCAUCCUAAUAGGCAGACAGCUGUUGAUAUCGAUGCUGCAAGUUUGGACCAACUUUCUCCACAAGUACACACAUGCUGUGGGAGCACAACCACUGGCAGAUGCUGAAGGAGACACCUAACUGCACAUAUCAACUCAGAACAAUGGAAAAACAAAAUUAAAAUACUUAUCUACAUGCUUUAGAAAUGAUGUUUCAGUGCUGCAUGACAUUUUGGCAGUUUUUCUCAUGAAAAUGUGGCUGAAGUCUUUGAUCCAUGAUGUUUUUCUGAAUUUGCUAAACCAGAUAAAUCAUACAUCGAAUCUACGAGAACUGCCCUGAUAGAGAGCAUUUCCUCUGUAUUUUGCCCCUGAAAACCUGUAUUUUUUUGUAACAGAAUCAUAUUCUCUAGGCUGAGAUUUUCGCAGGGAUAGGAAUAUUUUGGAAUGGGAUGUCAGAAGAAAGGCAAUACGAAGUAAAGGAGCUUGGCGAAGACCAUUUAGAGAAGUUUGCUGUGAUGGAAAAGAAGGGGGUAACCCAAUGUAACAAGAGAUCAACAUUCAUCUAGUGGAGGGCUAAAGGGACGCAUUCUGUUUUAAAAAUAAGUAAAUCAUAUUGUCCAUGAGGGAAGAGCAGGCUACCUUUCACCUACCAUUUUCAGCACCAUCAUAAGAGUAAGUAGAUGAAAAAAAGUAGAUGAAAAAAGCUUUUUCUGCUUUUCUUAUAAGUCCCCUGCACAACCACUCCCUGGAUGAGUAUCACACCUCAAGUGAUACUGUGGAGUAGCUCAGGGUCUCACAGCUUUCCUUCCCUCUACUUUCAGUUUGUAAAUAAGUAUUUGUUUUCUUCUUAACUAAUGCAAGCAAAAUCCUAGCUUCUCAAGGGCAAGCUGUUUUUUUCCACUGCCUUAUCCUGCCAUGUAUUGCAGUGCUCCUACAAGCAGGACCAACUGUGGUCCAGCACUGGAUGUAGUCACUUUCUGGAGGAUGUAGAAGAAGGAGGUAUCUCCCGUGCAGCCUGCCAAAACUGUAAUGGCUCUGCAGUGCUAAAAAAAGAUGUUUUUAUGUCAUCAAUGGCAAGCAUGAAUUCACUCAGGAAAAGUGAAUUUAUUUGAAAGAUGGUGUUUUUUAUGGAUACCACUCAGAAAAGCAGAAUAUCACCUUAAAAUUUCAACACAUUAAGCUAGAGGUACAAGAGCAUGCAUAACCAGCCAUAAUGCAAAUAUUAAAUACAAGUUAAUUCUCUGUUGAGUGCUUGUAGUGACGUAGUCUGUAGCAUUUCCUUGAGUAAGUGAAAGUAAUCUUGGGAUGUAUUCCAGUUAAAAACAAACUUUUACAAAUACUUCUGUAUGUUUAAUGUUUCCCAUUACAUGGUUCAUUCAAAGCACUUACCAACCCUUCAUGUCAUGUACAUUAGAACCAAAAAUCCUCAGGGAGUAAGUUGGGAAAACGUACAAGUAGAAAACACACCCGUCUUCUUUUAACUUCUGACCUGGGGUCUGGAUUUUCUAAUUCUUCUUUUUUUCUGAGAAAUAAAGGGAAGAAAAAGACAGAAGAGAUUCUGCAGAAGCAUAUAUCUUCUUAAGAGUAAAAUAGUGUGCCCACUUGUGAAUUUGCCUGUUUAUCAGUGUCCAGGUAUAAAAAUGACAAAAUGUAAGAAGAAAAAACAAAUCAAAUCAAAACAAAACAAAAUAAAAAAGAUAUUUUUAUAGACUGUAACUAAAUCCAGCACACCUUGCUAUCUUAACUCUGACCAGAUGUGGGAAUAGACAAAAAAAUGCAAGCUGUUUUGAUUCUACAUCAUCCUUUUAUUUUCCAUUCACAAUAAAUACUGUAUUUGGAUGAGACCACCAGAACCUGAGAUCAUUGUUCAUGGAAUUUCACAGAGUGUAUGAGUGGAGGGAAAUUAUCCUCACUGAUCACCACAGGUGCCACAGAGAGGGUCCCAUCACAACUUCUGCAGUGUGUUCACACAGGCUGAAGAUGCUGGGGGCAGGAGCGACACGGGAAUGAAGAGAGGGCUCUUGUCUGUGGAGAGAUUCUGCCCAGCCAAGCAAUGGGGAACUUGACAAAUUCAUAAAAAAGGAAAAUAAUACUGUAAGAUGCUGAUAUGGCACAUGACACAUUUGUGUUGGUACAGCCCUGGGACCCCUCAGUGUUUUCUCUGUGCAGACAGUUAAUAACUACCUGUUACACAGGGUUGGGAGACCCCAUUGUGCCCUCCUGAGUGCUGCCACCUGCACCAGCUGUAAUGAGGGCACUGUGUUUCAGCACCCUGUUUAUUUCAUAUUUUUAGUUUGGCACCACUACAAUGGCUGGAAUUAUAAAAGUAACAUUGUUUUCCUGUUGUUUUUCCCAUCUCUGUUCAUUCUUUUUUUGUUUUCAGAAAAAAAAUAAAUAUUGUACAACAGAAAGAACCAAGUCAUCACCCCAAAGUAGAUAUCACCUUAACAGAAUAUCUUAAUUUGAAUCACUUAACCAUAAGCAUUGUAUGAGCCUAAUUCUCAUAUAAUAUUAUCAUUGGCCAUAAUGCAGAUUAA